UCCCUCUCAAGGUCACAUCUGGAGAGUUUCCAGUACUCUACCAGUCUCGACUAUGGGAGGAAGAGUCAAGGAGAUGCAGACCCAUUCCAUUUCUAGCUUGGUCAAUGGCUAGAGAGUGGAAGACAAUCUGCUACAAGU